CCCACGGUAAGCAGGACGUCUCAAAUGGUUAAGACCACGCAAACCAUGAGACUACAAACCAUCCCACGUGGAGCAUUAGCUACACGGCUGGAGAUGGUUACACUCAGACUAUCGAUUUACUACAGAAGGAGCCAAUUCUAGAUGACACAAAUUACUAGUCUGCAGCUAGAAAUGACGUAAACCUAGAACAAGAACACCGACAACCUCCGAAGAAUCCAUUUUAUGAGAACAUUUUUGAAUGGUACUCUGAAGUAUCCAUUCUAAAACAUCUUCAACCACAACUUUUGGGGAACAAUCAGAGACUUUUCUGUCAACUCUCUCCAGCAGAUGGACCGGCAACCAGAGAGAGAGACAACAAGACAUACUCGUAAAUAUGUCGGUGGUGGCUGGUCCCUCCAGGAGUCUGAGGUGCAGGAGGUUCCUCCGCCCCCUCUGGACAUCGGGGGAGCCCCGGCGUACUCCGUUCGCUCCAUACUGGAAUCGAGGCGCUGGGCGAGAGGCCUUCAGUAUCUUGUGGAGUGGGAGGGGUAUAGUUCCGGAGGAGAGGUGCUGGGUUCCAGUCGAGGACAAUGCUGUAGGAGUCUUCGUCCGGAUCGCCCUGCACCUCGCCCUCUGGGUCGUCCCCGAUGCCAGUGUCUGCGCGCGGCUCCGAAGUUGGUCCCUCUCCUGGUUCGGGCAGCGGUCGACGUCACCGGCCUUCUAGCCAUUGCCGAUCCACCUUUCAUUUUCCAUUGGUUUUGUCUCGUCUUCCCUCACACCUGGUUUCAAUCCCAUCAAUUACAUGUUGUGUAUUUAACCCUCUGUUUCCCCCAUGUCCUUGUCCGGAAUUGUUUCUUGUAAGUGCUUGUGCACGUAUUGUCUGGUGUGCGUCGGGUUAUGUUCCCAUUUAUUGAUUGUUCUGUUUUCCGGUGGGUUAUUAUUAUUCAACUGCGCCGUUGGAAACACAGUUUUUGCUCUCCUGCGUCUGACUUCUCUGCCGCCAGUAAGCACCCCUUACAAUUCCACUAUAGUAAAUGACAGAUUGGAAGUCUGUACAGAACAAAAAAAUUCCAAAACAUCUUGACAGUUUGAAAUAUUGCACUAAAAUAAUACUGCAAUAAAUGUGGCAAAUAAAUUA